rnacentral:rRNA from 1 species
AUGAUCACCGAGAUAUCUCUGCGGGGUUUGCGGCUGAGAGCGGCGUUGGAAUCCCUCAACUUCACGACGUUGCAUACUCUCACGAGUAUCCGACUCCCGUACAAUCAGAUAAGGGGCCCCUUUCCACCCACUUUAGCAUCAUCUUUGCCAAACCUGCGACACCUAAUGCUUUCAGGAAAUAAAAUCUUUGGUGAAAUACCAAGGCAAAUUAAACACCUAGAGAGCCUAGUGGGGCUGAACUUGUCAAAGAACCACCUAUCCGGUCCCAUCCCUAGUGAACUAAGCUAUCUAAAGAAGCUUGCCAAGUUAGAUUUUUCCAACAACCACCUCACAGGCCCCAUUCCAAAAAAUCUAUGGAAUUGUACUCAACUCACUAUCUUGUACCUAUGGGAUAACCAACUUUCCGGGAGCAUUCCACAAGAACUAAGUUACCUAGUGAAUCUAGAAUUAUUGGAUCUUGGCACAAACAAACUCACAGGUUCCAUCUCCAAUACCUUUGGAAAUUUGACCAAGCUCACUGCCUUAUACCUCGAUGGUAAUUGGUUCUCCGGUCAUGUUCCACGAGAAAUUGGCACGGUAAUGGAUCUCAGGUAUCUACAAUUUUAUGAUAACAAUCUCUCUGGUCCCUUACCACCUGAAUUGUGUGCUGGAGGUAUGCUUAAGAGAUUAAUUGCAUUUGACAACAAUCUCAAUGGACCUCUGCCAUCAAGUUUGGUGAACUGUAGAAGCCUAGAAAGAGUCCGCCUUGAAAGGAAUCAAAUAGAAGGAGAUAUUUCUGAGAUGGGGGUUUAUCCAAAUCUGGCCUACAUGGAUAUGAGCUCAAAUAAUUUGUUUGGUCAGUUAUCUUAUCACUGGGGGGAAUGUCAUAAUCUUACGAUGCUACGCAUCUCAAACAACAACCUUACCGGGGAAAUACCCGCAAGUAUCGGGCAGCUAUCUCAACUAAGGUGGCUUGAUCUUUCAUCAAACAAGCUUGAAGGAGAGCUUCCAAGUGCACUAGGCAAUCUAAAAAAACUGUUCAACCUGAGCCUCGGGGACAAUUUGUUCCAUGGAAGCAUUCCACGAGAAAUUGGAGCACUAUCCAAUAUAGAGUUGUUGGAUUUGUCAUCAAAUAACCUAGAUGGGUUGAUACAAAAUUCAAUUGAGCAUUGUUUGAAGCUUCGCCUUUUGAAGUUGAAUCACAAUUACUUCGGAGGAAACAUCCCUCCUGAGCUAGGAUUAUUACGUAGCUUACAUGACCUAUUGGAUUUGAGUGAUAAUUCAUUUAUUGGGGCAAUACCAAGCCAACUUAGUGAUCUGAUCAUGCUAGAUAGUCUGAAUCUUUCACACAAUAAACUUAAUGGCUCCAUUCCGCCAUCAUUUCAGAGUAUGGAAAGCUUGACAUCCAUUGAUGUAUCUUAUAAUGAACUGGAAGGGCUGGUCCCGGACAGUAAGCUCUUCCAAGGAGCUCCAAUGCUGCGAUUCAUGCAUAAUAAGAUGCUAUGUGGUGUGGUGAAAGGAUUGCCCCCUUGUAGUAGUGCAAAUCAGGGCAGAGGGGAAAGGAAAGGAUACAAAAUACUUGUAUUAGCCAUUGUUCCUGCUCUGCUAUCUCUUGUUCUUGCUGUGAUGACAUUGAUGUUCUGGCAUGAAAGGAAGAAAACCAAUGCAACUAACAACAAUAAAGUAACAAAAGCAAAAGUCUUCUCUAUCUGGGGUUUUGAUGGGGCAAAUGUGUUCAUGCAAAUCGUUGAAGCAACCAACAAUUUUAGCGAGAUGCAUUGCAUAGGAACCGGUGGGUAUGGAUCUGUCUACAAAGCUAGACUUCCAACAUGCGAAAUAUUUGCAGUGAAGAGGAUACACAUGAUAGAAGAUGAGCAUUGUGUGAAUGAGACAAUGUUCAAUCGUGAAAUUGAGGUAUUGGUGCAGAUCCGUCAUCGAAACAUCGUAAAACUAUUUGGGUAUUGCUCCUCUAACCAAGGCAGGUUCCUUAUCUAUGAAUAUAUGGAGCGAGGAGACUUGGCGAAAACACUGAAGGAUAAUGAAAGGGCAACUGAAUUGGAUUGGAGAAGGCGGAUACAUAUUGUGUUGGAUGUGGUUCAUGCUUUGGCAUACAUGCAUCAUGAUUGUUCGUCACCAAUAGUCCAUAGAGAUAUAACAAGCAACAACAUUUUGCUUGAUUAUGAAUUUAGAGCUUGCAUCUCGGACUUUGGUACGGCAAAAAUUCUCAAUCUUUAUGGGUGGAAUCUCACAAGGCUUGCGGGGACCAAAGGCUAUCUUGCCCCAGAGCUAGCAUAUACAGAAAACGUGACGGAGAAAUGUGAUGUAUACAGCUUUGGAGUGCUUGUUUUGGAGCUAUUUAUGGGAUCCCAUCCAGGCGAUUUGCUCUCAUCCCUCUCGCUGGCCACCACGAACAAUGAACUGUGCCUGCAGGAUCUUCUGGACUCUAGGCUAGUGCUCCCAGAUGCUGGAAUCUCUAGAGAUAUAUACCGCAUGCUCACUGUCGCAGUCCGGUGCCUGGAACCGAGUCCAUCACGCAGGCCAACCGCACGACGUGUCGGUGAUGAGCUAUCUACGAUAAAAGCUUGUGAAGAUCAUGUCGAUUAUUUGCACGCUGGCAUCAUAUUUCCUGCACUGUAG